GGGGGGCGGGUGGAGGCUGGUCCGGAGUAUCCCGGGAACCUCGGAGUCCCUACAAUCUUCUAAAGCGAAGGACCGGACACCCUCGGAACCGAUCACAGCCCGGGAAAGGCUGGAGAGCUGGAGGCCCAAGGGCCCGCGAAGGGAGAAGGGAGAGGAGGGGGCAAACAAAGGAGGAAACAACCGAACCUCGAGCGAUGUGCGAGAAGAACGGCCGCGACCGAGGGUGCUCCGGGGCGCGGAGAGAGGCGGAGGGCGCCGGCGGGAGAGCGAGAGUCCGGGGUCUGCUAGUCGCUGCUGGUGAAUAAAAAGGAGAGAGGAGGCGCCUCUUACUGCUCUGCCGGAAAACUGCAGCCUGCGCUCCUGAUUGGACUCACCGAGCCCUAAACAAACAGCGCUAGCCGAAGGGUGCCAGGCUGUGGGUCGGAACUGCUCUCUACAAGCUGCUGGGUGCGGAGCUCACAAAAGGGAUUUCUUUCGACAAGCUGGACAUUGGAAGAAGGCUGCGAGAAGGGAAUUGAACAUGAGAAACACUCUUGUGGGAGUGGAUUCUUACAGGAACACCCCAGUCACUGUGGCUUCAGCGUGGCUGCAUUUAUGAAAGGCUGGAAGUAGAAAACUCUGGAAUGGAGAGACUAGCAGCUGGAACAGGAUUCAAAGGCUUUAAAUUUUAACCCGAGUUCGAUCGAAAGUUACUACCACAAGAGACUGGCACGGGCCGGCCCAAUUCCCACCACGGCUUCCAGCGGCUUGCUUUGGGUUGUCCGGAUCAGAGAAGCACUCCAUAUCCCCUUGGGGUCAUGAGCAGAACGAUCUGAACCCCGGCAGAUGUGAUAGACCUGUGUCCCGGAAUCCCGGAACUGAACCCAGGAAGGGUGUAGACUCUCAAAGAUCCAAACCAGAACAAGAAGAAUCCUGUUCUCUAGCUAAGAAGACAGUGAAAGAGAUGCACAGAGGCAGAGCCCAUAGAGGUCACACAUUCAAACCUGAUAAAGUUCAAGACCCUGAGUGCUUGCAGCUUCCCAAGACUGACAGUGCUGUCCCCCACCCCAGCCAGCCAGCUGAGGCUGAUUGAAUCCUCCUGGACAGAAGCCUCCAGGGAUCAGAAGCAGCAGUUAGUCCAAGGGGACAGGGAAUGCCCUGGCCCCCUCUGCUAUUUCAGCAAACCUCAGUCCCUUCUCUCCUGAGAUGGAUUGUCAGAGAUUUGAGGGUAGGGAAAGAGCUGAGCUUCCACAUGCAGGGCUGGUUAAGAUGGGAUGGAAACUUCUAGACGGCUGCCCUGAGAGCUGGGUCUCCUAAAUCUACUGAACGGCCAUAGACUCAAGACCGAGACACUUAACCCCGAGGUGCCUCAGUUGCUCUGUCCAUAAAAUGAUAAAAAUAUUGCUUCACA
rnacentral:lncRNA from 1 species